AUGACGUUGGACGAGUCUGGGGGCGGCCUGCAGACGCCCGGAGGGGGGCUGAGCCUCGUCUGCAAGGCCUCUGGAUUCACCAUCAGCAGUUACAACAUGAUUUACAACAUGCUGUGGGUCCGACAGGCGCCCGGCGAGGGGCUGGAAUACGUCGCCACUAUUAGCUACACUGGUAGUUACACAUACUACGGGUCGGCGGUGAAGGACCGUGCCACCAUCUCGAGGGACAACGAUCAGAGCACGGUGACCCUGCAGCUGGACAACCUGACGACCGACGACACCGCCACCUAUUACUGCGCGAAAAGUGCUUACAGUUGUAGUUGGGCUGGUAGCGAUAAUCACACCGGCGUCACUCCUGGAUUUGAUGGCAUCGCCCACGGCCCUGGUUGA